GAUGAACGCUGGCGGCGUGCUUAACACAUGCAAGUCGAACGAUGAAGCCCAGCUUGCUGGGUGGAUUAGUGGCGAACGGGUGAGUAACACGUGAGUAACCUGCCCUUAACUCUGGGAUAAGCCUGGGAAACUGGGUCUAAUACCGGAUAGGAGCGUCCACCGCAUGGUGGGUGUUGGAAAGAUUUAUCGGUUUUGGAUGGACUCGCGGCCUAUCAGCUUGUUGGUGAGGUAAUGGCUCACCAAGGCGACGACGGGUAGCCGGCCUGAGAGGGUUACCGGCCACACUGGGACUGAGACACGGCCCAGACUCCUACGGGAGGCAGCAGUGGGGAAUAUUGCACAAUGGGCGCAAGCCUGAUGCAGCGACGCCGCGUGAGGGAUGACGGCCUUCGGGUUGUAAACCUCUUUCAGUAGGGAAGAAGCGAAAGUGACGGUACCUGCAGAAGAAGCACCGGCUAACUACGUG
rnacentral:rRNA from 1 species